ensembl:lncRNA
CUAACAUGCUGAGGUCUGCUGAUCAGAAACUCCAUAAUCCAGUUGCAGAGGGAGGUGUUAAUGUCCAGGUCUCCAAGUUUUGUGGUCAGCUUGGUGGGAAAGACAGUGUUAAAUGCUGAGCUGAAGUCAACAAACAACAUCCGUACAUAUGUGUUGUUAUUGUCCAAGUGUGUGAGUACAGAGUGCAGCACUGUGCAUACUGCAUCCUCUGUGCUCCUAUUUCUACAGUAAGCAAAGUGGUGUGGGUCCAGUGUGGGUGGGAGGCAGUCUUUGAGGUGUGCUUCGGGUAGGUGGUCUGCUGAGAGUGUGAUCUUGGUGGCUGUCACCUUGCUGUCGAUGUUGAAGCGAGCAUAAAAGUAAUUUAGCUCGUUAAGGAAGGAGACGUCUGUGACCGUUGGAGUAAAGUUGCUUGACUUGUAGUCACUGAUGACCUGGAUGUCCUGCCAUAUGCGCCGGGGGCCAGAGUUGGAAAAGUGUUCCUCUACCUUCAGCUUCUAGCAGUACUUGGCCUUUUUGAUGCCCCUCCUCAGGUUAGCCCUGGAUUUGCUGUAGGCCUGAGUGUCAUCUGACCUGAAGGCAGUAUUGCGGGCUUUCGGCAGAAGUCGCACCUCCUUGUUCAUCCAUGGCUUCUGAUUAGAGUAUGUUAUGAUCUGUUUUUCUGUUGUAACACUGUCAAUGGUGGUGUUGAUGUAAUCCAGUACAGAGGAGGUAUAGAUAUCAAUGUCCGUGUGAGAGCCACAGGCAGCCUGAGAAGCAAACAUGCUCCAGUCCGUGCAUUGAAACCUGUCCUGAAGAGUCUGCUCCAGUUGGCCACACCCUGAUGGUCCUCACUGAUGGCUUCAAAUGGUUGAUGAGGGGUGAAUACUUAGGGGUGAGAAACAAAGAAAGGUGAUCAGACUGUCCGAGGUGGGGGAGGGGGGUCGCGGUGUAAGCUCCAUCAAUGUUUGUUUAAACAUGAUCCAAAGUUUUGUCUCCUCUAGUGUGGCAGGAAGCAUGUUGAUGGAAUUUGGGGAGCACUGUCUUUAAUUUGGAGUGAUUAAAAUCACCUGCGACAAUAAAAGCAGCCUCCGGGUGAGCAGUCUGUUGUUUACUAAUGGCCGCAUGAAGUUCGUUCAAAACAAGCUUGGCAUUAACAUCCGGUGGAAUAUAGACUGCUGUUAUAAUGGUGGAAGUGAACUCCCGCAGCAGAUAAAAGGGUCUACACUUAACCAUGAGAAACUCUAGGUUAGCGGAGCAGUGUCUCCCAACAAUGACAGUGUUCGUACACCAAGCUUUGUUAACAUAAAUGCACAAUCCACCACCUCUUGUCUUGCUGGGGUCAUCUGCCGUUCUAUCUGCCCGGACCAUGUAGCGUCCAGCUAGCUCAAUAGCAUUAUUGGGUAUGUCGCCGUGUAGCCAUGUUUCUGUGAAAACCAUGACAUUGCAUUCCAAAAGUCUCUUACUGUGGGUGAUGCGAAGUCGUUUCUCAUCCAUUUUGUUCACCAGAGACCACACAUUAGCGAGGAAAAUGCUGGGUAAAGAAAGCAGGAGUGGUGUUAGCUUUAGCUUAGCUCUUAGACCUCUGCACUCCCCCCACCUUUGUUUACGAUCUUGACGCCACCUGCAAGCACUUCCGCCCGGCUGGGUAGAGUGCUUAACCUCGGGUGUUCUGGAGAUCUCAGGGAUGAGUCGAAGAUUGGUGAUUAAACUGUUGGAAAAGUGCUCACCAAUAUCCAAAAGCUCCUGUUGGGUGUAGGCAAAGCUGUUCAGUAUGAACAGACCUGAGAUGAGCAGGAAAAAUACUGCAAAAUUGCAAAAACUGGAGAGACGCCGAGCCUUGUGAUGUGUACGCGCCGCCAUUUUGGUCUACAAGAGGUAAGGGAGAAGAAGAGGUAAGGUAGAAGAAUAGGUUAGAGGGAAGAAGAGGUAAGGGAGAAGAAGAGGUUAGGGAGAAGAAGAUGUAAGGGAGAAGAAGAGGUUAGGGAGAAGAAGGGGUUAGGGAGAAGAAGAUGUAAGGGAGGGAUAAGAAUGUGUGCUGGACGGUGCAUUUUUAUGUUUGUUUGUUUUUUCCUCUUACACAUGUGGAACCUGUGAAAGCUUAUUUCUGCCAUGGAAUAUAAAGGCUAAAGGGUAAUUGUGACUUUUUUUCAUCUCACAGUUCUGACUACUAUUUUUUUUGCCAUUGUAAAUUUAUCUCACAAUUCUGAUAAAAGUCUGAAUUGCAAGAUGUAAACUCGCAAUUCCAAGAAUAGAAGUCCAAAUUGUGAGAUAAAAAGUUCACAAUUACGUUUUUUUAUCCUGUGACGGAAACAAGCUUGCAUAGUAACCAAGGGCCAUGUAUGUUGUAAUUUUUGUUGAUCUCUGGCAUCAGCUACCAUCCACAUCCAACCACCCCCACACCCACCCACCCACUGGAGAACAACUUCAAUCAAGGUUCCAACUGAAUUUCUGCAUAGAGGACCCUAUUUUUUCUAUUGUACAUUCUAUAAAGUAAUGACUUAUUCAGUUUUAGACAGUAUGUUGCCAAGAAUGAACACAUUUAACACAACCCAUUUUGCUGAACUAUAAACACUAUUCCCCUGCUUUAACACAUGAGUCAGAUUUGGUGAACUCUUACUGCAAAACUCUACACACAAAUCCCCACAUUUCUCAGUGCUUACACCAUGUGGUCAUUUAGAAAGCACUAGCAUUCAAUAUUGUUCACUCAAGUCAGCAUAACUUGAGCUCAGUUAGCACACAGAUACCCACGUGGAAACACUAAGAGUCAAAAUGUAUCACACACCAGUCAGAACCUUCAAUAGAUAGAUAAAAGAGCCCCAUUCACUUCAUUCAGUUUUGGAACAAUGGAUCCAGAGAGACGUGAUUGAAAAGGUCGAGGACACCAGAGAGGAGGAAGAGGAUGAGCAAGAGCAGUAAGGAGUGGAGGAAGAGGUGAAGGAAGAGAAAGAGGAGGAGGACAAGGAUGAGGAUGAGGGGCAAGGAGACAAGGAGUCUUAGAUGAAAUUUGUGCCACUAGUUGACCAUGUCCUUGUCCAUGGUAUGACUAUGAGCGAGCCUGGGCAAUGAGUUCAGCCAAACUUAAGUUGCUUCACCGUCGCCUCGAUCAUAAGAACAUUCAGGGAGGUGUACCUCAGUGUACUCUACUGUAACUUUUGACAGCUGUACUCUGUUACAACACAUGCAUCAAAUUGCCUUACAUACAGAUAGAGUUUCUGUCUGCUUCCAUUUUGUAAAAAGUACUUUUGCAAAAUGAGUACUUCUAUUUUUGUAGGACACAGAGACGAUGGAAUGGAAGAAGCCUGAAUAGACAUUACAGUUGAUGUGUGACAGGGUGGAUCAGUCAUGCGAGAGGAUUUUACCCCCGCUGCCUGGCUCGGGCCAGUAUAGCCUGUGAUGUCUGUCCCAG